rnacentral:rRNA from 1 species
GAUGAACGCUGGCGGCGUGCCUAAUACAUGCAAGUCGAGCGAACGGACGAGAAGCUUGCUUUUCUGAUGUUAGCGGCGGACGGGUGAGUAACACGUGGAUAACCUACCUAUAAGACUGGGAUAACUUCGGGAAACCGGAGCUAAUAACGGAUAAUAUUUUGAACCGCAUGGUUCAAAAGUGAAAGACGGUCUUGCUGACACUUAUAGAUGGAUCCGCGCUGCAUUAGCUAGUUGGUAAGGUAACGGCUUACCAAGGCAACGAUGCAUAGCCGACCUGAGAGGGUGAUCGGCCACACUGGAACUGAGACACGGUCCAGACUCCUACGGGAGGCAGCAGUAGGGAAUCUUCCGCAAUGGGCGAAAGCCUGACGGAGCAACGCCGCGUGAGUGAUGAAGGUCUUCGGAUCGUAAAACUCUGUUAUUAGGGAAGAACAUAUGUGUAAGUAACUGUGCACGUCUUGACGGUACCUAAUCAGAAAGCCACGGCUAACUACGUG